rnacentral:misc_RNA from 1 species
GGAUCAUUAAUAAUGCCCUCUGGCUUCGGUCAGCUGGGUUCAAUGAGUGCCUUCUCUUCGGAGUUGGCCAUCCACACACACCGUGAACUGUGGCUUCGGCCAUCACAAACUGUUAGUAAUGAAUGUAAUAUCAUAACAAAAACAAAACUUUUAACAACGGAUCUCUUGGCUCUCGCAUCGAUGAAGAACGCAGCGAAAUGCGAUAAGUAAUGUGAAUUGCAGAAUUCAGUGAAUCAUCGAAUCUUUGAACGCACAUUGCGCCCGCCAGUAUUCUGGCGGGCAUGCCUGUUCGAGCGUCAUUUCAACCCUCAAGCCCCCGGGCUUGGUGUUGGGGACCGGCCCCCCGCCCUCCGGCGGGGGCCGCCCCCGAAAAUCAGUGGCGGUCUCGCUGUAGCUUCCCCUGCGUAGUAGCACACCUCGCUCUGGAACGCGGCGCGGCCAUGCCGUGAAACCCCCCACUUCUGAAGGUUGACCUCGGAUCAGGUAGGAAUGCCCGCUGAACUUAAGCAUAUCAA